GUAUUGGCCUACAUCAUUAAUGCAACUGAUCCCAUCAGAAAUCCAAAGUUAACCAUGCUUGGGAUAGAGUAGUACUAGGAUGAGUGACCUCUUGGGAAGUCCUAGUGUUUUAUAUU
rnacentral:rRNA from 1 species